AUUGUUUAUGGCAGUUGGCGGUUGGCUGUUUUUUCAAUUUUCUUAUUAAUUAUUAGCAUAAUCUAGAUAAAAACAACUAUUUACGCUUGUUUGCAAUUAGGAAGAAGAAGAAAAAUAUUCGUAGUCAAAAGCUAGGGAAGUUAUUCAUCGAGUUUAUAUACAAUGUUUAGCGGAACAUGAAGCUGGACACAUUUUGUCGAAUUCGGAGGAUGUUUACGCUCGUACAGCGUCUAUGACGGGAGUAUCGGACAGUACCGUCUGGCAUAUUGCAAAAGAGGGCUCUAUAAUGGAAUAUUUCUAACUCCUGGAAGAAACAGAACAGGCCGUCUAAAAA